CAGCCGCCGCGGUAAUACGUAGGGUGCAAGCGUUAAUCGGAAUUACUGGGCGUAAAGCGUGCGCAGGCGGUUCGUUAAGACAGAUGUGAAAUCCCCGGGCUUAACCUGGGAACUGCAUUUGUGACUGGCGGGCUAGAGUGUGUCAGAGGGGGGUAGAAUUCCACGUGUAGCAGUGAAAUGCGUAGAUAUCGGGAGGAACACCAGUGGCGAAAGCACUCUGCUGGACCGACACUGACACUGAGAGACGAAAGCUAGGGGAGCAAAUGGGAUUAGAUACCCCUGUAGUCCCUGUCUCUUAUAC
rnacentral:rRNA from 1 species